rnacentral:rRNA from 1 species
AUUGAACGCUGGCGGCAGGCCUAACACAUGCAAGUCGAGCGGAUGAAGGGAGCUUGCUCCUGGAUUCAGCGGCGGACGGGUGAGUAAUGCCUAGGAAUCUGCCUGGUAGUGGGGGAUAACGUCCGGAAACGGGCGCUAAUACCGCAUACGUCCUGAGGGAGAAAGUGGGGGAUCUUCGGACCUCACGCUAUCAGAUGAGCCUAGGUCGGAUUAGCUAGUUGGUGGGGUAAAGGCCUACCAAGGCGACGGUCCGUAACUGGUCUGAGAGGAUGAUCAGUCACACUGGAACUGAGACACGGUCCAGACUCCUACGGGAGGCAGCAGUGGGGGAUAUUGGACAAUGGGCGAAAGCCUGAUCCAGCCAUGCCGCGUGUGUGAAGAAGGUCUUCGGAUUGUAAAGCACUUUAAGUUGGGAGGAAGGGCAGUAAGUUAAUACCUUGCUGUUUUGACGUUACCAACAGAAUAAGCACCGGCUAACUUCGUG